CUUUCCCUCUUUCUUUAGGCCUAACACAUGCAAGUCGAACGGCAGCACAGUAAGAGCUUGCUCUUACGGGUGGCGAGUGGCGGACGGGUGAGGAAUACAUCGGAAUCUACUUUUUCGUGGGGGAUAACGUAGGGAAACUUACGCUAAUACCGCAUACGACCUACGGGUGAAAGCAGGGGAUCUUCGGACCUUGCGCGAUUGAAUGAGCCGAUGUCGGAUUAGCUAGUUGGCGGGGUAAAGGCCCACCAAGGCGACGAUCCGUAGCUGGUCUGAGAGGAUGAUCAGCCACACUGGAACUGAGACACGGUCCAGACUCCUACGGGAGGCAGCAGUGUGGAAUAUUGGACAAUGGGCGCAAGCCUGAUCCAGCCAUACCGCGUGGGUGAAGAAGGCCUUCGGGUUGUAAAGCCCUUUUGUUGGGAAAGAAAAGCAGCAGGUUAAUACCCCGUUGUUCUGACGGUACCCAAAGAAUAAGCACCGGCUAACUUCGUG
rnacentral:rRNA from 1 species